UCGUUUUCAUUCAAUAAAGCUAAGACCUUUUUCAUCCACAAAAUUUUAAAAUCCCAAAAUGCUCGAUCUCUCUUUCUCCAUUCCCAUCCGAAGGACAGCUCCGAGAUUCACAAAAUUGAUCUGAAGUUUCAUCUUCUUAGUCUUCAACUUCGUAGUUUCCAUCUCCGUAUCCUUCGUCCGCCAUAUAUUUAUCGCCCUUAGUCACCACCUAAUGGUAAGCCGAUGCGCUCUGAUUCUUUUGUAUGUGAAUGGACAAUACUGACUGUUUUGUGUAUCAGUAAUCAAAUUGUGAUAUAUGAGGAUUGCAGUGUAGAGUAGUUUUCUGUGAGAGUUGUAUUUUGUGCAUCGUGUGUUGUGCUAAGCCGCCUAACCCAAAAAUCAAGCUCUAUCCCUUCCUUCAACAUAAUUUCCGCAAGCUGAUACAAGUCCUACUUGUAUUAGAUUUUGCUUUAUAUUUUCAUUUGUUGUAUUUCAGUUAGCUAGGUAUCUGCUGCAGCAGUGUGUAAUGCUAAAUGCAAUUGUUUUCUAUUUUAUGCUUUUCUUUUACAGAUUAUGCUUUUACUUAUAUGGAUGUUUUGUGUAUGAUUAUGAAAUCGUAAUGUAGGAGGAUAAGUAGUGUGUGUAGUUUCUAGAGACAUGUACUGUGAAUUAAAGAGAUAAUGGAAGAAUUAACAUGUAAUGAGUAGAGCUAAGUUGUGGUUUUACUAUUCAAAAAUAAGGGAAAAAGAGUAACAGGGAGAAUUGUGUACCACAAAGGAGAUAAUAGAGCGUUUUAAGAGGCAUAAUAAAGACACACACAAUUCAACCUGAAAACCAAGCUGGUGUACAACCUCUACAUGUAGAUUCCAAUUUCGUGUCUCCUCCCUUUAGGAUGAAUUAGAGAACAACUAGUGUAGUAAGAAUUGCUGCUAAAUACUACAAUUCAUGCACUAGUUUUCAAUCUCAACGCUUAUUCCUAUGUUUUAUUACAUGCUCUAUGUGUACCAUUUUCUUUUUCUGAUAAGUCACGAUAUAGAGCAAGAGCUAAUUUCAAAAAGAAAUAUGGCCAUUAGUAGCACCAGGGUAUUCAACUCAAGCAGUUAAAACUCCUGGGACAGACCUGGCAGAAGAAGGUAAAAUAUAUGUGCAAUUAUCUUCUUGAAUUCUUGUUCACAAAUUUUCCUUUCCAUGUGUUAGUUUGAAGAUGAGUUUAAGAUGUUAGCUCAAACUUGAUAUGAAGUUUUGAUUAUUUUAAAAACUUAUUGAUCUAACAAGGAACCAGAUUCUUUUUAUUGGAGUUGCUGACAGUGAGAUGAAUGAUAAACUCAGUGUGAGGUAUAUUUGUGUUCUAUCAUCAAAAAGAGGGAAAAUGUUAUAUUCUAGGUGUUUUGAUGAUCCUCACAAAUGAGGGGAUCUGGUCCCUGUUAGAGUGCUCUCGUCCAGAUAUAAAUGGGGUAAAGCCGUAAAAGUUGUCAUGUUAGGUUGUAGGUGAAAAGUCCAGCGUCCUACACCAAUAAGGAGAGCGGACGAGAUUAUAUGUUUUAGUAUCUCUCAAAUGCAGGGACCUGGUCCCUGGCAGAGUUCUCUACAUCUGAUACAUAAUGGUGUACAGCUAUAAAGUUAACCUGUCAGUGGCAGGUGAGGCGCCAGCGUACUGAACCAAUCAGAAUGGAAGAGGGUUUUUAUCCAACAACUAAUAACUCUUUAUGGUUGAUACUUUCAACAUGACAAACAACAUAUUAAGUUCAUUCAUUGAAGAAGAGAGAGAGCGGCAAGCCUUUGUCAAGAACUCAAGCAUCAAAGAACGCAGCAAGGGACCUGGUCUCCAGAAGUUUGCGCAUAAGAAAAGGACGAAAAGACAACUGUCAAAAGCUGCCAACUCUGAGGGGUUGGUGCAUAGCUUAUCAUAACAGCAGACUCUCAUCCAAUAGCCUCGUCCCAAGGGUUUGUGUUCAUUUGAAUAUAUUCUAUUCUCCAACAACACAAACACAAGUUUUGGAAAACAAAGUUUUAGAUUUUCGGAAAAUCCAAAAGCUCAAAAAGCAAAGUCCAUCUUCAAGAAGUAUCAUCCUAAGAGCAACAGGGACCAGAUAAAGCUGCAAGCUAUAUAUUUGUCAUAGGAUUAUAUCUUACAUUCUUACAUUGUAAAUAUGUUUCUAAUUUAUAAAGGAUUCAGAUAUUUGGUUCAGGUUUGUAAAAAUCUAAAUCAUUUAAGUUUAACUGAUUUAGUGGGCAACAUUGUUUUGUUGCUUAGCCAAAUUCUAAGUCAUCUAGAGUUAGGUGGUUUAGUGGUCGGUGUGGUAUCCGCUUAGCAAAGUCUAAGUUAUCUAGGGGUGAUAGAUUAGUGGGCGGUGUUGUAUCCGCUUAAGCUCUUCAAGUAAUAGGUAGAUUACUUGACUGUAAGAUUAAUAACUUUUCCUCACAUUGUUUGUAACCGGCUUUCACUUUUGCUUGAGAAGAUUAGUGAAGAUGGUUAAAAAUCCUAUGCAAUAGGUCGUGGUUUUACUCCCUUGAGCAAGGAGGUUUCCACGUAAAAUCGUUGUGUAAAUUUUAGUUACAGCUAUUUACUUUCUACAUUUGUUUCAACUACUUUUCUUGCUGAGUCAACGGACCUGGUCCGUUGACGUAUAGUAGAUGUUGAUCACUGUCUGUGCUUACAUUCUGUUCUUACUGUGUCAAGGGACCUGGUCCAUUAACUGUUAGUGGACGCACCCAUUCCAACACCAUGGAUAAUAAUCUUUUGUCCCUUUUCAUUAGCUGUUUUUUUUUUGUUCUCUUUCUCUCUGGAAGGAGUUGGAGCUCGUUUCGUUAAGUUUGUGAGAUUGUGCAUAAUAUGAUAAGUCAAAUCUAGUAAUACAUCCUCAGAGUCUAGUUAAUCAUAGAUGUGGUUGUGAAGUGUUAACGAAAUGAUAUGGACCCAGGGAUCUUGAUUUGUAGAAUGCAGGAAAAAGAGUACAAAGAAUCUCUUGAGGCCUUCAAUGAAAAACAAAAAAUCCAGCUAAUAUCAAGAUUGAUGGAGGUAACUGUAAUUUACAAGAACUUUGUAUUGAUCUUCAUAUUCACAAACAUUCUUAUAUGUUGAUUGAUGUAUGUGCAACUGAUGGGUGAAAGCGAGAAAAUGCGGUUGAAGAAGUUGGAGGAUCUGAGCAAGAGCAUUGAAACAAUAUAAUGAAUAACCAGUAAAAUCUCCCCUGACUAAUUAGGAUUGUGUGAUGUAUUUAAGAAUGUUCUUUUACUCUAUUUAUAUAUGUGUGUGGCGUUUGAUUGUAUUUCCUUUUCUUUUGCUGAGAGACACUUGAAAAAGCUCCCUUGCAAGGUACUUUCACUUUCCAAACCAUCUUCAUUGCCAACAACCCAUCUGAUUGUUGGAGGAAUUAAGAUCGCUGUAAGCAGAAUUAACAGUGUAUUUUCCUUUACUGUCACACUGCCAAACCAAACUUACUGUCUUCUUCUGUUAAACCAUUUAACUUGAUUGUUGCAUUGUACCUAUUCUUUCUCUAAUGACUGUCACAAGUGAGUUCUGAAUUUUUUCACGUCCUCCAUAGACGAGUAAAGUUCGUAGACCUACUUUAUUAAAAGAUGUUUGGAAUCUACCACCGGGGAAGACAAUUGUUGUGUCAUUUAAUAGUCGUAAUCAGUCAAUUGGAAAAGAGGGAUCAAAGCUGGCAAGCUUUCUAGGGAUCUUUGUUAGAACUCCAGAUUUGACACCGUUAAGUGCAAAUGACUGGUGAGUGUUUGAUGACAAAGAAAAGACAAAGUUGGUGGAAUUUGUUAAGGUAUAAAAUUAUUAUUCUUAACAGGUAUCAUUGCUUUCUUAUACAUGAUAUUAUCUGGUUAACUUUUACCAAUCUUUUCAGAAAAAGUUCUCCAUUCCGAUAUGCGGAGAAAAGUUAGUGAAAAAGUCAAUAAAAAAAUGGAGGGACUAUAAAUGCGACUUGAAGGCGAUGUAAGUGACCAAAUAUAAUACCAAAGAUGCCUUGAUGAAAAAUAGACCAGCUCAGAUACCAAGGGAUCAAUGGAAUGGUCUCGUUUCGUAUUGCGAUAAUACACUGUUUGAUUCCUAUCAUCAUGGAUGACACAAGUCAUGUACAAUAUGCUCCUACGGAAUGAAGCAGGCCACAAAACAAUGAAAGUACUACUAGACAGUGACAUACUCAUUCAAAUGGUGAGCUUGUUCAAGGAAUGACAUACUGAUCGAGAAAGAUGUCACAUUUUGCAUUAGGGAACAAACACUGGCUUAAUUGCCUUUUUUUUAUCCAUUGUUGUUGAACACAUUUUUUCUAUUUUGAUAAUUCACAGUUUUUUUACCGCUACAAGAUAAGAAAUUGAAUGUAUUGAGAUUGUUUGUUCUUAUUAUUUUAAGUGAAUUACAUUGUUUUGA